UGGCGGACGGGGGAGUAAUGUCUGGGAAACUGCCCGAUGGAGGGGGAUAACUACUGGAAACGGUAGCUAAUACCGCAUAACGUCGCGAGACCAAAGAGGGGGACCUUAGGGCCUCUUGCCAUCGGAUGUGCCCAGAUGGGAUUAGCUAGUAGGUGGGGUAACGGCUCACCUAGGCGACGAUCCCUAGCUGGUCUGAGAGGAUGACCAGCCACACUGGAACUGAGACACGGUCCAG
rnacentral:rRNA from 1 species